GGCGACGCGAGCGAGUCCGCCGCCCGCGACAUCGCGAGAAGUCCACUGAACCUUAUCAUUUAGAGGAAGGAGAAGUUGUAACAAGGUUUCCAUAGGUGAACCUACGAAAGGAUCAUUG
rnacentral:rRNA from 1 species